UGUUCAAAAUUCCAUCUACUUCUAUCCUUAAAAAUUGACUUGGCUGUCAGAAUAAUAAAAUAGUGAUGUGUGGCGUGCUACAUGUACUUUAUGUUGACAUACAUGAGUCAAUUUUUAAUAGUAGAAAUUAAUAAAAAUUUUAACA
rfam:Gossypium hirsutum cultivar TM-1 unplaced genomic scaffold scaffold154.1, whole genome shotgun sequence